AGUUGAUAUCUAUUUAUUUCAUUCUUUUGGGUGGACUUCUCUUUUAAUCUUUUGUUUGUUUCCUCAGUGCUCUCUGCUGCCCCAAGUGGCCGGUAUCUCCCCUAUAAAUACCCGCUCAGAGGGCCAGGCCGGCCUUUAUAAAAUGGCUGCUCACAAAGCAACAGGUUUCCAGAAAUACAUAAAUACAAAGAGAAAUGAAGAGCAAAGGAUCUGAGAUUCUCUGUUCACUGAAACAGAAGCCCAGUGAGGAAUCCCCAUAAAGGAGAGUGAGAGGAACGAGACGAGGGGCGGCAGUUAUGGGCAGAGCUCGCUGGGUGAGAUCCUACUAAGGCCCCUUCCCAUCACAAUGAAGGAUUUUCUGUCUAAAUUGUAUUUCUGGAAAUUGUAAUGUUGUAAAACUGUUUUGGAAAUUGUAUAUUUGGAAUUGUGUAUAUAAAUUGUUAUGGUUCUAAAGGUCCAUUAUGGAGCUCCAGGGAACAGCACUGUCACUGCUUCACUCAUUUACACAAUUAAACGCACUGACAAUAAGGA